rnacentral:tRNA from 1 species
GGUGUCUGCUCAGUGGUAAAGCACUUGCCUAGCAUGCAUGAGGCUCUGGGUUCAAUCCCCAUCACCA